rnacentral:lncRNA from 1 species
ACUUUUCUUACAGUUUUUGAGUGACGCACUACAAAACGAUGGGGGAAAAAAAAAAAGGAGCCCUCUGGUCUCACGCAGGGCGUCUUCCGCCCUGUAAACUUGGCAAAAGGCGAACUGGACUGAAAUCCAGCACUCUCCAUAUAAGGAAGCCCAGCUAAACAUGUCAUGCGUAAUUUACGGGUAGCAGGCAGAGAAUUAACCUUUGCGUGCACAUCUUUGGCCCCGGCGAAAACCGGGCUGGAUGGCAGCCCCGGGGACGGGGACGCGGGGUCUCCCGGGAGAAACCGGGGCUCCCAUCCCAUGGGCUUGCAUCCGCCCCCGACAAAGGUCAUUAAGUUAAUUCAAGUGUCUGGAAUUAGAGCCACGGGGGAGCCCUCACAGUACGCAGGGCACACCUCCACACUGCCCGAAUUCCUCCUCUUUCGUAACACAGGAUUCUAUUACUGGCUGCGUGAAUGGGGCUCACACUAUGGAAGAAGGAGAACGCAAAUAUGGAACAGGGGAGGGCAAGAAAGAACCCUGUGGAGAUGGAUUGGAGUUGGAGGUGGGCUGCUUUGGGAAGUUCGUCCCGUGACAGAGGAGAGGGAGACACCCACUAACCUGAGAGAUCAGCUGGAUCAGCCCUGGAUAUCAACAGUCGGCAGACCCCCAGCUGGAUCACCCACACGUCACAGAGCCAGCCGCGUCUCAGUAAGACCGGUAUAAAGUUUCACAAUGCAAUGCAGCAGUCAUCCACUUUCAACUUUUAUUAGACUCGAUGAAAAUUUAUGUCUUAGGUAGUGUGUCACAUGAACGUAAUCUUAAUGAAACAUAGUAAAAUAUAUGUCUAUAUUUCAAAAGUCAAAAUUUAUCUUUUCCAGCAAUAAAUUAUUACAACAUGAUGUCUAAUUUUACUUAACGUGGAUUUGGGGGCAGGCUCUAAAUGCUUUUUCUUAUGACAGCAUGUGAAAUAAAAAGCAUGGGCAAUGUGUCCUGCUGUUCUAAUGAUGACAAGAAUAUUCUCUUCAACGAUCUGUGUGUCUCACGGAAACUCAGUCAGAUAAGCACUAAUUUUUUUCUGUAGAUAUAAUUUUCUCAAAGACAGAACAAAUCCUAAAAUUAUUUUCCAUAAUCUAGAACCAGUUUGUUUGCUCAGAGAUUUUAGUAAUUCUCAGCAACAACAACAUCAACACAUCUGUCUUGUCAGCAAGAUAGCAUUCCCUCUGCUUCUCUGGCCUUUGUUUGCCAUUCUGAAUUACAGGACUGAUCAAUUUAGAUUGUAAUUUCCUUGGGCUAUGUUUUCUCUUGGUCUUAUCAGUUAUUCAGCAUAAUACCACAUUAUGUCUAACACACCCACAGCACUUAAUAGUUUAUGAUAUCAAAAUACCUCAUACUUGAAAUUCUGGACAUUUAAAAAGACUUCCAUCAUUUUCUUUUUAAAGACAGGGGCAUUAAAACAACAAACAACAUAAUCAAGUUGUAAUGGAAAUAGUUUUGUUUAAUUAUCGUGUGACACAUAAAGCUGAAGAUGCACAAUUUUAAUGGAUUUCUCACAACUCCAAACUUAAUUUAAAAAUUUUGACCUAGUUAAGGAUGUUGAACUUUAGUCAACAGUUCAUUUCCUAAAUUUAUAACACUAACAAUGUGUUUUUCUUCUCUCUAUAAUCAAAAG